UACAGGGGGGGCAAGCGUUGUUCGGAAUUACUGGGCGUAAAGGGUCUGUAGGUGGCCAACUAAGUCAGACGUGAAAUCCCUCAGCUUAACUGGGGAACUGCGUCUGAUACUGGAUGGCUUGAGUGUGGGAGAGGAAUGCGGAAUUCCAGGUGUAGCGGUGAAAUGCGUAGAUAUCAGGAAGAACACCCGUGGCGAAGGCGGCUCUCUGGAACGCAACUGACGCUGAGACGCGAAAGCGUGGGGAGCAAACAGG
rnacentral:rRNA from 1 species